GACGGAGGGUGCUAGCGUUGUUCGGAAUGAUUGGGCGUAAAGCGUCCGCAGGUGGCUAUGUAAGUCUGCUGUUAAAGAGUGAGGCUCAACCUCAUAAGAGCAGUGGAAACUACAUGGCUAGAGUGCGUUCGGGGCAGAGGGAAUUCCUGGUGUAGCGGUGAAAUGCGUAGAUAUCAGGAAGAACACCGGUGGCGAAAGCGCUCUGCUAGGCCGCAACUGACACUGAGGGACGAAAGCUAGGGGAGCGAAUGGG
rnacentral:rRNA from 1 species